AAUGAAGAAAGAAGCUAAGCUUUCGGUUCUUGAUUCAAACUCCAACGAUAUUGUCCCUCGCGUUUUACCUCAUCUUGAUCAAUGGAUAUUGUCCAUACGGGGAGACGGUUCUCUACUGGUAAGGAACACACCCAAGGUUAUGCAUCUCAGAUCAUGAGCUAGCAAAACAGAUCUUAUCGAACAAGUUUGGUUUCUUUGCUAAAUUAAAGACAAAACCUGAGAUCCGUAAACUUGCUGGUAAUGGACUCAUCUUCGUAAAUGAUCUUGUUUGGGUUCGUCAUAGACGAAUCUUAAACCCUGCAUUCUCUAUGGACAAAAAUCAAGAUCAUGAACCAACUGAUGGUGGACUGCACUUUUAGGAUGUUCGGGAGGAGUGGAAAAAACAGAGGAACGUUGGCGAAUCCGAGCAAGUGAUGAUGAUGAACAGAGAGUAUAAGAGAUUGACGGCUGAUAUUAUAGCCACCGCGGCGUUUGGAAGCAGUUAUGCGGAAGGAAUUGAAGUGUUUAGAUCACAAAAGAAGCUCCAAAAGUGUUGUGCUGCUUCUCUUACUGACGUCUAUAUCCCUGGAGUCCAGUACUUUCCUACGCCUUUGAAUCUUCGAAUAUGGAAACUUGGUAGGAAAGUGAAUAACUCGAUCAAAAGAGUCAUAGUGAUAUGAUUGUACAAUGCCACGUCACGAGGAUUCAAGUAUUUUGAUAACGUGGUUUGUAUCAAUGAGAAAGGGAAAGACUGGGGAAGAAACA